rnacentral:rRNA from 2 species
ACAGGGAUUCCCCUAGUAACGGCGAGUGAAGCGGGAACAGCUCAAAUUUGAAAUCUGGCCCUUGGGUCCGAGUUGUAAUUUGCAGAGGAUGCUUUUGGUGCGGUGCCUUCCGAGUUCCCUGGAACGGGACGCCUUAGAGGGUGAGAGCCCCGUACGGUUGGCCACCAAGCCUGUGUAAAGCUCCUUCGACGAGUCGAGUAGUUUGGGAAUGCUGCUCAAAAUGGGAGGUAUAUUUCUUCUAAAGCUAAAUACUGGCCAGAGACCGAUAGCGCACAAGUAGAGUGAUCGAAAGAUGAAAAGCACUUUGAAAAGAGGGUUAAAUAGCACGUGAAAUUGUUGAAAGGGAAGGAUUUAUGACCAGACUUUUUCUAGGGGGAUCAUCCGGUGUUCUCACCGGUGCACUUCCCCUAGUUGAGGCCAGCAUCGGUUUCUGUCGGGGGAUAAAAGCUUCGGGAAUGUGGCUCCCUCCGGGGAGUGUUAUAGCCCGUUGCAUAAUACCCUGACGGGGACCGAGGUUCGCGCAUUGCAAGGAUGCUGGCGUAAUGGUUAUUAAUCACCCGUCUUGAAACACGGACCAAGGAGUCGAACAUUUGUGCGAGUGUUUGGGUGUUAAACCCUCACGCGUAAUGAAAGUGAACGGAGGUGAGAGCCCCUCGGGGUGCAUCAUCGACCGAUCCUGAUGUCUUCGGAUGGAUUUGAGUAAGAGCAUAACUGUUCGGACCCGAAAGAUGGUGAACUAUGCGUGGAUAGGGUGAAGCCAGAGGAAACUCUGGUGGAGGCUCGCAGCGGUUCUGACGUGCAAAUCGAUCGUCAAAUCUGCGCAUGGGGGCGAAAGACUAAUCGAACC